rnacentral:rRNA from 1 species
UACAUGUGGGGCAAGCGUUGUUCGGAAUCACUGGGCAUAAAGGGUGCGUAGGCGGUGUCACACGUCCGGGGUGAAAUCCCAUGGCCUAACCAAGGGUCUGCCUCGGAUACGGUGGUACUUGAGUGCGUGAGGGGUGAUCGGAACGCGUGGUGUAGCGGUGAAAUGCGUAGAUAUCACGCGGAAGGCCAACGGCGAAGGCAGAUCACUGGUGCGCAACUGACGCUGAGUGCACGAAAGCGUGGGGAGCAAACAGG